GCCGGCGAGAGCCUGUCCCCGCUGAGCCAUUUGCGUUGUGCCACGUAUAGCAGGGAAAAAUGAGCUGUCCAGCGGAGCCACGACACGUUCCACGCGUCGCCCGUCAGCCCGUCGCGUCGUCCUUGCCCGGCGAAACCUGCUUCGCCUCGCCUCGCCUCGCGGUCCUCGUCGCCUGCUCAUCCUCCCGUUCCGGCCGGCCUCCCUCUGCUACCUCUCUCUCCCACGCACGCCUCCCACCUCUCCCUCCCUCUCCUCCACUUCUCUCCCUUCACCGCCGCUCUCCUCCCUUCGCCGCCCCUCUCCAGGACCGGCGGCGGGGCGACGCGUCGCCACAGCCCGUGGGUGCGACGCGACCAGCGGCCCGUGGCGGCAGCGGGGCAAGGCAAGGCGGCGCCCUGCUCCGCGAGGAUUAGCGCGAAGGCGGGAUGCGGCGUCGGGGACGGCGGGCGCGGAUCCGGCGGACGGCAGCGCCCCUCUCUCUCCCUCGCUGCUUUGUCUCUCAGAUUCGGCAGCCGCGGGAUCCGGCGGCGAGGGCGGCCGCCGCAUGCGGGAUCCGGUAGGGACGGUCGGCGCGGCCAGCGGGCUCGGGAUCCGGCGGUGGGUACCGCCGGCGCGGGCGGCCGACGCGGGAUGCGGCAACGGCCGGCGGGUCGUGGUGCCUCAAGCACCACUCCCGUCCUUCGAUUGAUGUGUCACCUCUUCGUUCAGGAGAUGCAGUGCCCGAAUGGAUCCUUGAGACUUGUAGUGCUAAUACUACAUCGCCGACAUGACCCAGCUUAAUCCUGUGAUGCAGCUCCCAACUCUAUUUGCGUAUCCUCUAUGAUACACUUCUCAAGAAAAAGCAUUAGCAUCAUGCUUUGUCCAUGCCCAGUAGAAGAUUAUUACUCGAAAACAUUGGAUUUUGGAGGUUCUUCUAUAUGGCAACAUCUUCUGAAGGUAUUUUUUUACCUCUUUAUUGUUAGGUAAAGCUCUUUUUACCCCAUUGUGCCCUUUGAUCUGGAUAGUCACUUAUGUUAUUGGACGUAGUGAUCCAGUGUUGCCCUUGUGUUCUUAAAUAGCAGUGAUACAAACAAGAGUGAAAUUAAGUUAACUUUCCUGCAUACUGGUCCGCUUCAAAGAUUUUUGUCUUCCAUUUUUCAGUUCAUCAAUUAAUUUACUUGAUCCUGUAAUAUGUUUCCUUCUUUGCCAACUAAAGUGAUUCAAUUAGAGGCAGAUUUUAGCUAACUGCAUGGCACAAUAUUCUUGACGCUUCAUCCAAGUAUAACCGAAAACAACUGAUUGCUUAAUAAAUAUGCAUUUUACUACUCCCUGAAUAUUUUCCGUAUUAUAUUUUCCAGCAGUCAUUUUUAGGAGUUAACAUGUUGAGUCAUCCAUAGCUGAAAGUUGAAGGAACAUGAUAUUCUAUAUCUGUGUGAAAUUGUGUGUUAUGUAGACCUCUGUUAUCCCAUUUACCCCACAGCUCCACACAUCUGGUGAUGGAUGCUGUCAGCUGUUGGCAGAGAAUGGAGCUUCUUAGAGCCCUAAAAGCAAUCUCCUGUCUAUGCUUUCAAACUUCACACCUAUUCACUCGAUGAUAGUUCGCACUUUUCAGCAGUCUUUCAAAGUCUGACAUCAUAUUAUCUGUAUUUGGUUGUCAUGACUGUACCUUUAUGCGUGGAGGGGAGCUCCUUGACAAUCAAAAUAAUAUGUUUGUUCCCCUCUUCAGACUAAGCGUGCUAUAUGAUUUCUAGAGGAAUUCCUCAUUUUUGCAGAACCUUUCAGGUGACAUGGAGGGUAAGGUGCUAUGCGGUAGCUUACCACCACGAGAUCUAUUUUUUUUCCAUGAGAGACUUUUGCAGAUUACGUCGAAACAGUUUCUUUGUAUUGCAGUUGUUUGGUGGCAAAACCGAUGCGUACCUAUGACAUGAUUGUUGUUGUAAUUAAUGUAACAUUUUCAGUUACUGUCAACUCAUUUCUUGGGCACAUACAAGAAUGAUGUAACUUUUUUUAGAUGACCUGCCUGUUGCGCUACUCUGAGAAAUUCUUAGUGUAUAAAAAAGCUGAUGAUUCCUUUUUUCUUA